rnacentral:rRNA from 1 species
GACGAACGCUGGCGGCGUGCUUAACACAUGCAAGUCGAGCGGUAAGGCCCUUUCGGGGUACACGAGCGGCGAACGGGUGAGUAACACGUGGGUGACCUGCCCUCAGCUCUGGGAUAAGCCUGGGAAACCGGGUCUAAUACCGGAUAUGACUCCAUGACGCAUGUUGUGGGGUGGAAAGCCUUGUGCGGCUGAGGAUGGGCCCGCGGCCUAUCAGCUUGUUGGUGGGGUGAUGGCCUACCAAGGCGACGACGGGUAGCCGGCCUGAGAGGGCGACCGGGCCACACUGGGACUGAGACACGGCCCAGACUCCUACGGGAGGCAGUCAGUGGGGAAGUCUUGCGCAAUGGGCGAAAGCCUGACGCAGCGACGCCGCGUUG